ensembl:misc_RNA Metazoa_SRP Metazoan signal recognition particle RNA
GCUGGGCGUGGUGGUUCACGCCUGUAAUCCCAGCUACUUGGGAGGCUGAGGUGGGAGAAUCGCUUGAACCUGGGAGGCAGAGGUUGCAGUGAGCCGAGAUUGCACCACUGCAUUCCAGUCCAGGUGACAGAGCGAGACUCUGUCUCAA